ensembl:lncRNA
GGCAGUGUCCCACAUGCCACAACCAGAGGCACUCACAACUAGAAUACACAACAAUGUACUGUGGGGCUUGGGGAAGAAGAAGAAGAUUAAAAACAAAAAAGAUUGGCAACAGUUGUUAGCUCAGGUGCCAAUCUUAAAAAGAAAAGAAAAGAAAAGCAAGUCCAGGGCAGCCCAUUUGGAGCUGUAGUGCAAAAUUUACCCACACUUGCCAGAAAUGUGAGCCCUUAUACCACCACUCUGCUGGGUCACUGGCUGAAGGCUGCCCUGGAGGAAUGUGGUCUUGCUCCAGCGUGGAGGCGGAUCCUGAAGGCAGCCACAGCUGAGGCUGUCCGUGACGCCACUCCUCAGGCCAGGCUUUCUCUUGAAGGGAGACCUGAGUGCUAGACCUCCAUGCUGCCACGGCCACCAUGGCAGCAAAUCUGCAAAGGAGGGCUUGAAUCCAAGAGAAAAUAAUUUCCUGGCAUCAGCAAGGUCCACAGCCUGCUCCAAUCAAGUUGCCUUCCAAAUGCCAGAAAGCUGAGGUACCCAAGCACCAGGACCCAGGAGAUAAGUUGGCUACAUGCCAGAGCUCUCAGGACAGCAACCUGCUUGCAUAUGCGUUUAUAUAACCGUUUGCAAAUAAAAAGUAAGUAUGCAGAGCCCUGAGCCCUCUUUGCUCCCCCAUCCCUGGGAAUCCACUGCCUAGUUCAGCUUAGCAGUAACACAAGCCUUCACGGGUCACUGCAGCCCUGACCACCUGCGCGCCCCGCCCCCGACCUGGUCUGGGAGCCUUUCAUCUGCGCCCACUCCAGGAGGACCAAGCUGGCCAUCCUCCGUCUACAUUAACAGCACACAGACAUUCCGACCAUUUUUUUUUAUUAGCUCCAACUCACCGUGGACGACAUUGGAAUCAAAUAAGGAUAGAAAAAUUAAAUCAUAGGCCCCCAACUCGUCAGUGGCAUGUCAGAAGCCAUUGACAUGGCACAGGCCACGGGGGAGGCCUGCAGCUGAGCGCUGCUGACUCCUGGGGGCCGGGACCAGGAGGCAGCUUCUGUGUUCCCCUUUCUCAAAGCUCUCUGGUUGGACCUGGGUAUCCCACACUGGGAACAUUCCACACACGCCCUGUGCCCUGAGACCAGCACUCCAUAUACUUCCCUCAUCCAGGAAAGACCAGGGCCCAGAGCGGAAAAGCCACUCCCUCGUCUCCCACUCAACCCUGCAGGAAAGCACAGCCCCGUUUCACUUGGGGCAAACGCAGCCCCCAGCAAGGCCUGCUUUGCUCUCACAGAAGUUCCACUUAGCACGGCUCAGGCUCCUUUCCCCAGCCUUCUCUUUCCUCAGAGGGUUUGUGCCAGUGACAGCUCCUGCAGAGGACACUUCCUAGGAACCCUGGGACGAUCUGGCUCUGUGGCUGCAACGGGCUUCCUUAUCUGGUGCCUGGAAUUCCAAGACUUUGUCUCUCAUCAUAUAUCCCCCCCUGGGUUUGUUUGAAUAUUUAGACAAACGCAGCCCUUCAGCUCUGAUAGUGGGUGUGUGGGAGCCUUUGUAUCUGUCAGGAAUGUCAUGCUCCUACCUCACAGCAAUUUAAAACCAGCAGAGAUCCCACCAGGAGCCAGGGACCGGGCAGAGCCAGAGAGCUUCUGUGUGGCCAAGAUACAAUGCUAGCCACCUCUAAAAUGCCACUGUACCCCACACACUGCAAGGCCCUUGAUGGCCUGUGAAAAGGCCCUUGUAUGUAGGUCAAAUCUCAAAUUCUCACGGUUCCCAGAUGGCUUAAAAAUGUCAACAAAGAAUCUUUCUACUUAUCAAAGAUUGUAUAUAUCCCCAUUUAAGCAGGAAGUCUGCAGAGGCCGGGGCCCAGCCUCCUGUUUAAUCUAAGAACCAGCCCUCAAGGGUUGCCUGCUGGCAAGUUAGCAACCUGUAAGUACGGGAGCCUCUUUGGAUAAAUCAAGGCUUCCGUGGAAAGAGCCUAAAUCCUAUAAAAGUAAUUUAUUUGCUUACCCAUCAAAUUAUAAUAUUCAUUUUGUUUUUGUAAACUCGCCAGUCCCCAGUUAUUAAUGCAAACCACAAGAAACUGUUUCAAGUAGGAUUUGGUCUCACAGUUUCCACCUUGAAUCUGACAUAGUCUACCUGGGAAGAUUGCAGGAAACCAUAAAUAAUUCCUAAUUCCUAAAGUGGGUCUAUGCAUAAUAAAGACUUUUUUUUGCUAUUAAAAAAAAAACCGCCAGGAGGCUGGGAACCAGGCAUCCAGGCCGGCGGGCUGCCUCAGACGACGCUGCCCUCUGUGCACGAGCAGGCGGCCGGGCAGCACGAAGGACCGUGCAGGGGGCGGGGGCGGGGGCAGGGGACCGGCCCGCGUUCUCCGGCCUCGGGCGGGCACCGGACAAGGCGCCUGAAGCCUCCCUCCUUAUCCCGAGCGGAAGGAGGGACGGCCACAGUGCGGCCCGAAAGCGGCGCCUGCACCGCCACCUCCGUCACCGGCCUGAUCCAGGGUCUGCGGCCCCCCGCCGCCUGGCAUGCCCCCGGCGACCCUGGUCCGCUGGCGUCCCCGCAGGAGGUUCCCCGCGGCGCGCGCACGGCGGGCGCUGCCUGGCCUUCGGAGGGGCGUCCCGAAAAGGGCCCUGGACGACGAGCAAGAGACCAAUGACAAACAUUUCCCAAACUGGCCCUAGCCUGUGGACCAGACCUUGACCAGCAGCACUUCUGGGCAGUGUUUGUCCCUGGGGGCGAAGAGGACUGAUGGUCAGAGCCGACCCUUAUUCCACUCUUACUCUCUGGCACAGCACCCUCGUGAACCCCCCAGCACAUAGUUGCAUAUUCUUCGUUGUGGGUCCUUCUACUUGUGGCAUGUGGGACGCUGCCUCAGCGUGGUUUGAUGAGCAGCGUCAUGUCCCCGCCCAGGAUUCAAACCAACGAAACACUACGCCGCCUGCAGCGGAGCGCGCGCGAACUUAACCACUCGGCCAGGGGGCCAGCCCCCCAAAUGCUUUUGAAAGGACAGUGGCACUCUUCAGGGUGUCCCCUUGCUCCUGCUCACCUUCUAUAUGCAUGCAUGGUCCACCGCCACACCAUGCUGUGAAGUGACAAGAAUGACAGCAUUUGCAGGAAAUGUACAUUGCAACAUGACAAAGCAAGAAACACCUUUUGCAAAAAGCGUUAGAAGUUAAAGGACUGGCUGGUAAUGCCUCGGACAUCAGUUCUUAUCCUUCUGCUUUUGCAGUUGCUGAAUGUUGAAACAAGUCAGCUUGAAGUCGGGUAAUAAAUGGAUUCCAGCUUGAAUCUUGGCAGGAUUUGUUUUGCUUGAGGGAAGUUGUUUAUGCUAAGGGGUGCCCCCCCUGCAUAGUUCGAUUUAUAUUAUACAAAGUCUUGUCCAUCAUCUGGAUGCUGUUGUAAACAAUAUAAUCUUUGUCUACCAGGAAUGAGCCCAAUGCCAAUAACUUUAAAUAAACACAAGCACCAGUUUUGUAUUUACAUUGUCUGAGGCAAGCGCUGGCAGGAGUUUUUAAUGGCGCCGUCGGCCCCUCCCUGCCUAAGGUAGUGUCGGCUGUCGGGACUGACCUGAUUUGUGGAGAACUCACUCAGGGAAAGAUUUCAUACUUAGCAGAUGAGUGCUACACCCAGCCUGCAUUCUUUUGUGGGGUUUUGGCAUGUUUUAAUUCCAUCAAGUGAGCACUGCAUCUUCUUGUGCUGGAUGGAGCAGGGCGGGGGUUGAGGGAAGACCUUAGACCUGUAAAGUGCAAUCGUGCACUUGAGCAACUGAGGCCGUCAACAGCAAGGCUCUGGGUGUCAGCGGGCUCUGAGGAUUCCAUUACUAACAUGGCUCUGGCUCUGCUCUAUGGAAGACAUCGAUGCGUUGAGUUGCAUUCCAUGCAGAAAGCAAUGGAAUUUUGCAAAAGUUUGGAUGUCUGCUGCAAUUCCAAACCAAGCAAGUAGAGAAGCAUACCACUCUUCAAUAGUGAUAAAUUAUCUCUGUGGAGGAGUAGAGAAAAGCAAUUUUGCCUGCUAAUCUCCCCUACAAAGAAAGCAAGAACUACAUGGUGAGUGUGAGCCACACUCCCAGCCCUCUUUAGGGACAGACUGAACAUGUCCUUGGUGGUAGCACUAUUUGGUUAAUAUUCCAGACUUCAAAUGUAGGAUGUAAGAAAUCAGUUUCUGAGAGCUACACAGGCUACUUGUGGACUAUCAUUCUGCUGAGGGAUGAUGCUGUAGAAGGCUGGGGGAGAGAGUGGGGAUGCUCCACGUGGAAAACACGAUAGGAGAGAGAUCUCUGUGGUCCCUUGUUUGAGUUCAGGUUUGAAAUCUCUCAGGUCUGAUUGAUAAACCCUCAAAUUAAGAUGAACAAAAUCAAAGAGUCACAAAACAGCCCACUUCAUAACUGCAUACUUAUGGUGUUUGGUUUUAUUCUCUGCAAAAGAAAUGAGACAUCUGACCAACCUUUGGACUCUGCCUGGACCACAGACCCCACAGGCAGGUAGUAGAGGGUGGCGAUGGAGACUUGUGCCCUGGAGCCAGACUGCAGCCUGGCUUGGCCUCUUUCUGUCUCAGUGAUCUCAGGAAACAAAGAGGCCCUCCUAGGUGUCCCUGGACUCCUUUCUGCACCUCACCCGGUCCAGCUGGGCUCCAGAUGAGAAAUAUUAACCAACACUCCGUCUGUCUACAAUCAUCGCCAGUGACGCUUUCAUUCAAGAUAUUCCGAGAGCAUGCAAGGUCUUCUUGGUUCCCAGCAAAGCACCUGAAAUGACCUCAUUCUGGAGAUGGAUGAGCAAAGCUCUCCACACAUCCCUCUUCUACAUGAAAAACAUGCUUUGGGGAGGUCUCCUUUCCCUGGUAUUUCUCUCCUGAAGGCAGUGAUCUUUGCCUCUUUUCAGUGGCCUUUCCUGUUCCAGAUUCUGUUAUGUUCCCUAGUGAGCCAGUAAAAUUUCCCUUUUUGGAACUGUUUCAAGUUGAGGAGGGUUUUUAUAACCAUGAUACUCCUGAUGACAAAUGGAUUCGCUUCUCAGCAUCUGCUUUUGACCUCGCUUCAAACGGACGGAGGGCCAGAGAACAUUUGAGAGCUAAAGGCCCAAUUCUAAAGAAUUGAGCCCACAUCUUGUCCCUUCCAGGGAUUAUUUCCCUGCUUCUGAAAUAUCUUUUCCAUGCCUCAUUAGGCUGUUUCGUACCUUGCUUUCAACUUUGUAUUCUCAACCAGAGCUGAAAAAGUGAAGUAGAGGCAACCCCAAAGACCUGUGGGAGUCAGGGAGUGCAGAGGAGGCCUGCAUCUUCUGCAGACUGUGAGUGUGGUCACUGCCCUCCACCAGGUCCCUUCCUGCCUCAGGUCAUCACAAGCCACUGCCCGUGGUCUGGGGGGAACGUUCCUGAGUGGUGAAAUGGCCAAUGAAGAUCUCAGAAAGGCUGGGAAGGAGGAGAAACAGAGUUCAUGGACAGAGAUACAGCCAGGUCCUAGGACCUAAGGCAGCAGCACCUUUAAAAGCACCACACCUUAGGUGCAGGGGACAAGGCCUGGGGUGGGGCCUAACCUGAGUGGUUCAUUAGUUGGGGGAACGAGUUGCACUAAAGGCUCCACUCCAAGCAUCAAGACAUUGAGGUCUUAACCUAAGGAUAAACUUACAGAUCCAUGGAAUAGAACUGAGAAUCCAGAAACAAACCCGUGGGUCUAUGCUCAAUUGAUUUUGGACAAGAUGCCAAGACAACUCAAUGUAGAAAGAUUGUCUUUUUAACAAAUGGUACUGAGACAAGUGGAUAGCCACAUGCAAAUGAACCUACGCUAUAGACAAAAAUUAACUCAAAAUGGAUCAAAGACCUAAAUGUAAGAGCUAAAAUUAUAAAGCUCUUAGAAAAAAAUAUAGGAGUAAAUCUUCAUGAUCUUCGAUUUGGCAAUGGAUUCUUAAACAGGACACCAAAAGCAUAAGCAAGAAAAUUAAAAAAUACAUAAAUUGGACUUCAUCAAAAUUAAAAACUUUUGUGCUUCAAAUAGCACCAUCAAAAAAGUGAAAAGACAACCCACAGAAUGGGAGAAAAUAUUUUAAAAUCAUAUAUCUGAUAAGGGACUUGUAUCCAGAAUAUAUAAAUUAAAUAUAUAUAUUAAAUUUAUAUAUUUAAUAUAUUGAUAUAUAUAAAUGAUAUAUAUUUAUAUAUUAAAUUAUUCAUUGUAAGAAUAAUAAAAAACCAAAUAACCCAGUAAAAAAAUGAGCAAAGGAUCUGAAUAGACAUUUGUUCAAGGAAGAUACACAAAUGGCCAAUAGCGCAUGAAAAUAUACUCGACAUCAUUGGUCAUCAAGAAAAUGCAAAUCAAAACAACAAUGAGAUACCACUUCACACUCACUAGGAUGGCUAUAAUAAAAAAAGUCAGAUAAUAGCAAGUGUUGGCAAGUGGAACAAUUGCAACCCUCAUACACUGCUGGUGGGAAUGUAAAAUGCUGCAGCCACUUUGAAAACAGUCUGACAGUUCUUCAAAGGGUUAAACAUAGAGUUACCGUAUGACCCAGCAAUUCUACACUUAGGUCCAUACCUAAGAGAAGUGAAAACAAGUGUUCAAACAAAAACUUGUGCACAAAUGUUCAUAGCAGCAAAAACAGCAACCAAAAGGUGGACACAACCCACAUGUUCAUCAGGGACAAAUGGAUAAACAAAAUGUGGUCUUUCCAACACAAUAGAAUGUUAUUCAGCAAUAAAAAGGAAUUGUAGGGGUUAUGAGAGACUUGGGGGGUGAAAAGGAAAAAGAGAUGACCAUGAGAGGCAGUAACACACAGCAAGCUUUCUCAGGUGGCACUUGGACAGGGUUGCACAUGAAGGAAGUUCCUCCCAGUGUGAGACACUGCAGAGGCUAUGGAAAGCAGGCCACCGUGCUGAAGGGGAGGUGGGCAAAGGCAAUCCUGGGGGAGGGGGACCAGGAAGGGGGCGUCUGUGUCCAGAGGAUGUCGCUGAGCAGCAUGGCAGGCAGGCUUUGGGUCAGGGAGCUCUGAAGGGCAGUAGCACCUUGGAGCCUUAAAACAGCAACACCAUCUGAUCAAGGGCCAGCAGAUUCUAGGUGUAGUGUCCCAGGGUAUGCAAAGCAGGCAGACCCUAAAUGGGUAAACGUCUGCUUGUCUGAGCUAUUCUUAAAACAAUUGGUUGUAUAAAAUUUUAAUUGUGGCACCAGCAGGCUUUUGAGCGAAGGGGUCUCAGCCUGCUGUGAAGAAAUAAAUAACCUAGAAGCCAAAACACAUCUUUGGCUCAUUUAUACAAUAGGAACGAAGUACUGAGACCUGCUACAGUGUGGAGGAACCUUGACAACAUCAUGCUAGGUGAAAGAAGCCAGUCACAGCAGACCACAUAUGAUAUGAUCCCAUAUGAAAUGUAUGGAGUAGGCAAAUCUACACAGACAGAAAGUGGAUUAGUGGUUGCAGUGGGUUACAUGGGGCAUCGGGGGUCAGGGGUGAUAUACAAAAGGUAUGAGGUUUCUUUUGGGAUGAUGAAAAUGUUCCAGAAUUGACUGUGGUGAUGGUUACAUAACUCUGUGAAUAUACUAAGAGCCAUUGAAUUAUGUACUUUAAAUGCAUGAAUUAUAUGUAUGUGAAUUAUUUCUCAAUAAAGUGCUCCAAAAAGAAAAAAAUUAAAACAUAAAAAAAGUAAAAGGUCCCACCCACAGGCUGCCCUCUCUACCACCAAUGUUUUAGUGUUACAUGAGCAGACAGGCCCUUUCAUGGCAACAUGUGACCACGACUAUUAAACAGGCCCCACUGUCAGUGAAGGCUGUUAGUCGCUAAGUCUGAAUUUUCCAAUGACGUGAACAUUAGUCUCAGGUUGAUGAGCAAUAGAGCACAUGUAUUCUUUUUUAAUUCAAACUUACAGAAAACUUAGAGAAAAUUUGCAGGAAUGUAUAAAGAACUGUCAUAGAACCUUCACCAGAUUCACCAAUUGUUAGCAUUUUGCCACAUUUGCUUUCUCCAUAGUUGAUAGAUAGACAGAUAGAUAGACAGAUAGAUAGAUAGAUGAUUGAUAGAUAGAUAGAUAGAUGAUAAAUAGGUAGAUAAUCCCCAGCAUUUCUUUCAGAACUAGUGUGAGAUAUCCUUUGCCCUUGAAUGGUGCUCUGUACCCUUACAUGCUGCAGCAUGCAUUUCCUCAGAACAAGAACAUUCUCUUAUAUAUCAUAAAAUUCAGGAGACGUAGUAUUGACGUAUUACUAUUAGUUAAUAUAGCAUCAGACUUUACCAAUUGUUCUGAUAACGUCCUCUGUGGCAUCCCCGACCCCACCCCCAUCCGUGACCCAGGAUUACACAUUGCAAUUGUGAGUCAUGUCUUUCAGUCCCCUUUGAUCUCAAACUGGUCUUCACUCUUUUUUGUCUUUCAUAAUAUCAAUUUUUCUGAAGAGCACAGGCGAGUUGUUCCACAGACGCCCUCAGUUUGGGUCUGUCUGAUGUGUCCUCGUGAAAAGACUUGGCUUUGCAUUUUUAGCAGGUGUUAAAUAAUGGCCCCCAAAGACCAAAGGUCUUAAUCCCUAGAACCUGUAAGUGUCGCCUUUAAUGGAGAAAGGGUCUCUGCAGGUGUGAUGAAGUUAGGGAUCUUGAGAUGGGGAGAUCAGAUCAUCCUGGAUUAUCCAGGUGGGCCCUAAGUGCAGCCGUGUAAAUCCUUAUGAGAGAAAGUCAGAGGGAGAGUUCACACCCACAGAAGAGCAGGAGGCCACAUGACCAGAGGCGGAGAUGGAGUGAUGUGGCCACAAGCCAAGGAGUGCUGGCGGCCCCCAAAAGCUGGAAGAGGCAAGGAACAGGUCCUCCCCUAGAGCCUCUGGAAGGAGCAGGGCCCGGGCCGACCUUAAGUUUGGCUCACUGACUGAUUUCAGACCUCUGGCCUCCAGAACAUGAGAGAAUAAAUUUCUGUAGCUUUAAGCUACCCAGUUUGUCGUAACUUUUUACAGCACCUGCAAGAAACUAAUACAGCAGGAAUAGCACAGAAAUGCUGUCGUGUCCCUGCUGCAUUGAAUCAGGAGGCACUGGAUGUCACUCUGUCCCAUUUGUCAUUUUGUUAAUAUUGAUCACUUAUAGUUAAGGUGAUGUCCUCCAGGUUUCUCCACUGUAAAGCUAGUAUUUUUUCCUUUGAAAUUAAUAAAUAACUUGUGAGGAGAUACUUUGAGACUAUAUAAAUAUCCUAUUUGCCAUCAGACUUUCCCCUACUAGUUUUAGCAUCUAAUGGUGAUUCUUGCCUGAAUUAAUUGUUACUCUGAUGAUUGCAAAUGGUGAUUUUCUAAAUGGAACUAAUUAUAAAUUUAUUAGUUGGCAUUAGACUGUAAGAAAGCACAUUCCCUUCCUUCUCCAGAUUUGUUUAUUUAUCUAUUCAUUUCUAUCAAUAUGGACUCAUAGAUUACUGUUUUAUUCAAAAGGUUAUAAUCUGUCCCAAUCACUGUUUAUUCUGAUAUUCAGAUUAUCCUAGAUUUGACCAGUGGGGGCCCUUUCGAGCAGACCUCUGUGUCCUUUUUUCUUCUCUUUUUUCUUUUCUCUCUCUCUGCUCCCACCCCUACCCCUGUGGUCCUUUUGACAUGUUUCCAUCGUUACUUCCUAGCACAAAAAUCUAUUUCAGACUCAUCUCAUACUUUCCCUAACCAGUCACGGAAUCUGCCAUUUCUUCAAGGAAGGCUGGCUCCACUCAGUAGGAAAAGGUAUUUAGAAACCAAGAUCUGGGCACCAGGUGACACACAUAUUCUCGAAAGGUUUCAUUUAGCACCAGCCUUUGCUGAUGGAUAGACUCUGAGCUGAGGGAAGGGGCUAGCAAGGUUCUCCAGGCAGCACUGCAACUGUGUGAGGAGCUGUGUUUCCAGGUAUGGUCCUGGGGGACCCCAAGCGGGGGGAGGCAGAGCAGGAAAGGUUCUCUUACAGGAUGAAUUGUGUCCCCUCCAAAUUCUUGGAAGUCCUAACCCCCAGGACUUCAGAAUAUGAACUUAUUCGGAGAUAGGUCUUUACAGAGGUAUUCGAGUUAACGUGAGGUCUUAGGGUAGGCCCGCAUUGAGCAUAACUGGUAUCCUUAUAAAAAGGGGAAAUUUGGACACAGAGAUGUGUCUGGAGGAAAGACCGUGUGAAGGGAGAAGACACCAACUACAAGCCAGAGAGAGGUCGACAGAAGAGCCUUCCCUCACAGCCCUGCUGAUGCUCGAUAUAGGAUGUUCGGCCUCCGGAACUGCGAGAUGACACAUGUCUGUUUGUGGGACUUUGUCGUGGCAGCCCUAGCAGGCUUCUUGUUCCCCCCCCCGCAUCCCUCAACCAAAAUGUUUCUACUUUGCUUUAACAUUUUGUUUGAAAAACAGUAUUUGUUGGUUUAAAAUAAAAGUUUGGAAAUUCGUCGUUCUCCUCCACACCUUUCCCAUUACACAGAUAAGAAUGCUGAUGUCCAGAGAAGUCAUUCCUUUGCAGUCUCAAAGCCCUUUCCGGUGACUCACAUUUUGCUUUCUUGGAGGUUGAAGAAGAAAAUGAAGGAAGGAAAGGAGGGGGGCUGGACCAGUGUCUUGUGAGGCUGCAGUAUGGCUACUGUAGAAGGACCAUGCCUGCGUUGGCUCUGAAAACUGGCAGGCCAACAGAGGCCUGUUCUGCGGCAGCCUCAGGGAACCACUGCAGCUCUGCGUGGCCACAGCAGGGCCACCAGCGUCCCAGGUGGUAAUUCUCUUCAUCCUCUUCCCCUGCACAGCCCAGCACUGACGGCACUUCUGACGUCCAUUUUCUCCUGGGCCCCCUGCGAUGUAGGACAUGUCUACGAGGAUUGAUUGCUGGGUUCCUGGGGGAUUGUCAACCUCCAGAUGUUCUGAAGCAGCCAUCUGAAGAUGACAAAGUUCAUUGGUUUCCUUCAUCCU